rnacentral:rRNA from 1 species
GACGAACGCUGGCGGCGUGCCUAAUACAUGCGAGUAGAACGCUGAAGGAGGAGCUUGCUCUUCUGGAUGAGUUGCGAACGGGUGAGUAACGCGUAUGUAACCUGCCUGGUAGCGGGGGAUAACUAUUGGAAACGAUAGCUAAUACCGCAUAAAAUUGAUUAUUGCAUGAUAGUCAAUUAAAAGGUGCAAUUGCAUCACUACCAGAUGGACCUGCGUUGUAUUAGCUAGUUGGUGAGGUAACGGCUCACCAAGGCAACGAUCCAUAGCCGACCUGAGAGGGUGAUCGGCCACACUGGGACUGAGACACGGCCCAGACUCCUACGGGAGGCAGCAGUAGGGAAUCUUCGGCAAUGGACGGAAGUCUGACCGAGCAACGCCGCGUGAGUGAAGAAGGUUUUCGGAUCGUAAAGCUCUGUUGUAAGAGAAGAACGAGUGUGAGAGUGGAAAGUUCACACUGUGACGGUAUCUUACCAGAAAGGGACGGCUAACUACGUG